GGCAGACGGGAGAGUAACACGUGGGAACGUGCCCUUCAGUUCGGAACAACCCAGGGAAACUUGGGCUAAUACCGGAUACGUCCGUAAGGAGAAAGAUUUAUCGCUGAAGGAUCGGCCCGCGUCUGAUUAGCUAGUUGGUGGGGUAAUGGCCCACCAAGGCGACGAUCAGUAGCUGGUCUGAGAGGAUGAUCAGCCUCACUGGGACUGAGACACGGCCCAGACUCCUACGGGAGGCAGCAGUGGGGAAUAUUGGACAAUGGGCGCAAGCCUGAUCCAGCCAUGCCGCGUGGAUGAUGAAGGCCCUAGGGUUGUAAAGUCCUUUCGGCGGGGAAGAUAAUGACGGUACCCGCAGAAGAAGCCCCGGCUAACUUCGUGCCAGCAGCCGCGGUAAUACGAAGGGGGCUAGCGUUGCUCGGAAUCACUGGGCGUAAAGCGCACGUAGGCGGCUUUUUAAGUCAGGGGUGAAAUCCUGGAGCUCAACUCCAGAACUGCCUUUGAUACUGAGAAGCUUGAGUCCGGGAGAGGUGAGUGGAACUGCGAGUGUAGAGGUGAAAUUCGUAGAUAUUCGCAAGAACACCAGUGGCGAAGGCGGCUCACUGGCCCGGUACUGACGCUGAGAUGCGAAAGCGUGGGGAGCAAACAGGGUUAGAUACCCUGGUAGUCCACGCCAUAAACGAUGGAUGCUAGCCUUUGUCGGGUUUACUCGUCAGUGGCGCAGCUAACGCAUUAAGCAUCCCACCUGGGGAGUACGGUCGCAAGAUUAAAACUCAAAGGAAUUGACGGGGGCCCGCAC
rnacentral:rRNA from 1 species